rnacentral:rRNA from 1 species
GCUUUUGUACACACCGCCCGUCGCUACUACCGAUUGAAUGAUUUAGUGAGGUCUUCGGACUGGUACGCGGCAUCGACUCUGUCGUUGCCGAUGCUACCGGAAAGAUGACCAAACUUGAUCAUUUAGUGGAAGUAAAAGUCGUAACAAGGUUUCCGUAGGUGAACCUGCGGAAGGAUCAUUA